AUUGAACGCUGGCGGCAGGCCUAACACAUGCAAGUCGAGCGGAAACGACAACAUUGAAUCUUCGGAGGAUUUGUUGGGCGUCGAGCGGCGGACGGGUGAGUAAUGCCUAGGAAAUUGCCUUGAUGUGGGGGAUAACCAUUGGAAACGAUGGCUAAUACCGCAUAAUGCCUACGGGCCAAAGAGGGGGACCUUCGGGCCUCUCGCGUCAAGAUAUGCCUAGGUGGGAUUAGCUAGUUGGUGAGGUAAUGGCUCACCAAGGCGACGAUCCCUAGCUGGUCUGAGAGGAUGAUCAGCCACACUGGAACUGAGACACGGUCCAGACUCCUACGGGAGGCAGCAGUGGGGAAUAUUGGACAAUGGGCGAAAGCCUGAUCCAGCCAUGCCGCGUGUGUGAGAAGGCUUCGGUUGUAAAGCACUUUAGUGGGAGGAAGGGCAGUAAUUAAU
rnacentral:rRNA from 1 species